GUAACAAGGUUUCCGUAGGUGAACCUGCGGAAGGAUCAUUACUGAGUGGCUGUAUUCGUGCUUCUCUUCGGAGACGCGAAGCUACCCGACCUGAUGUCAUUUUAUCCGAGGGCGCGCCCGCUUGAGAAGACAGCGGUUUGACGUUGUGGUGUUACCCGGACGAGGCGCUUGUCUCGUAAGGGGAAGCUUCCGGGUCGGGCCGUGGCGCGUUCCUUGGCACAACUUUCCGCGGAAGUGGUAGGCGUUGACUUGCCCGCCGCGGGCCAUACUUUUCACAACUCUCGAAGAAAACCUGAAGUCUGAAUACCAAAACAAAAACGAAAAGCAAAACUUUCAACAACGGAUCUCUUGGCUCUGGCAACGAUGAAGAACGCAGCGAAACGCGAAAGGUAAUGCGAAUUGCAGAAUCAGUGAGUCAUCGAAUCUUUGAACGCACAUUGCGCCUCUCGGUAUUCCGGGAGGCACGCCUGUUCGAGCGCCAUUACAAACUCCAAGCGUGGCUUGAUGUUGGGCGAUGUCUUUUUGCGAGAGCGGGAGACACGCCUGGAACGCGUUGGCGCCGCCGCCGGACCACGAGCGUAGCAAGACGAGAGUCAAUCGCAUCGAUUUGGUUUCCGACGGAGGUCCGCCUUGUGACUGCACUUUCGAGUGUAGUUGAAAAACUUCUCAAGUUUGGCCUCGGAUCAGGCG
rnacentral:misc_RNA from 1 species